GGCUUUUCGCCCCGCCUCGUUUCUGCGGGAGGUGGUUGCCCUCAGGCAGCCCGGGCUCAGGCCUCUGGGAGGCGGCUUAAAGCUUUGCCUGCGCCCGCGGCCCCGUGCCGGCUGCGGAUCCCCCCACGAUCAAGGCCAAGCGUCUCUGAAUUUUCAGAGUAAAUACCUUAGAAUUGGGAAAGCCAUCGCCACGGAGAUGGGGGAUACCAAGAAGGGAAGGAAAAAAAAGCGAGGGGGAUUGAUUCCUGCACAGCUGAUUUUCCACAUAGAUAAUAGCCUAUGUUGCUGCAUACAAGAACAACCUGAUUUCAGGCAAGCAGGAGUAUGAGACGUUUAUUGCCACAAUCAAGAAUGACCAAAAGAACGCAUUUUUUUCUUCGUGGGAGAUUAAAAGUUCUGGCAUCUGAGCCCACAGCUCUGUUAUACUACAGGAAAAGAGCAGUAGAGUUUGAAGACAAGUUCAGUGAAUUACUUUCAAGUGGUCAGUAUGAUGCAGCAGCAACUUCUGCAGCAAACUCUUCUAGAGGAAUUCUCCUUAAUGAAGAAACUCUGAGGAAACUUAAAAGGAAGAAUUUCAACUGGAAAUACAUAACUAGGUUGCUUAUUAGAGGGGUUUAGCUGGUAUCAGUUUAGUCAUUUCAGUGGUUAGGAAUUUGGUCUUUGUCAAACAGGGGUGUGUGGGUUCGAGGUUACACUUAACAUUCUAAUUGAAGCUAAGUAAAGCUGUGGGGCUUUUCUGCUCCUUAGGGAACGUCCUUAACAUUUGACAGAGGUGCAAAGUAAGGGAUAGCUCACUCGCAACCAUUGCUUUUCUUAAUGUUGGUAAGCUAUUGGCGUAGGCGGUGGGUUAGGGGAAAGAAUGGAACGUAAACAGUAGUGUACAGCUUUCAGAACUAAUUUGGCUGAUAAUGACCAGCUGUUAGACUUCCUUACGUUACAGUCAGAGCCUUUUCAAUCAUUUUGGGGUUCAGGGUUUGCAGAGGUAUGAAUCCCUGUUACCCCUCUGUUUAGUGCAGAUCGGGUGUGAUCAGUGUAAAGCUGUUCCUACAGCCGUUCUAAAACUGUUUUAUUUCUACUGAUAAAUUAUGUGCAAUAUACAAGGGCAAAAGUGUACCUACUAUUUUUAAAGUCCAGUCCUUACUGUUCUGUGUGUUAACACAGCCUCUUGAGGCAGCCUGGCUUCUUGAGCCGUAGAGCAAUAGUAGCUUCAUUAAAAUUAGUUAGUGUCAUUAAAAUUAGGUUUCUGAAAUGUACAUCAAUUUCAGGUUUGUAAAAACUAAUCAGAGUUUUUAAAUACCCCAGAUGAAUGCAAAGUUGUCCUUUAUAGUUUAGUCUUCUUGUCUGUGUUUUGGUUUGCAUUUGGAAAUGUAAAAUACAGUGAUAUUGGUGGUGUCAGAGACUGAAGCCACUGAGUAUUUUGUUCUUCCUGUGGAACGAGCUGCAGGGGCAUUGCUAAACUUUGCAAGAUCAGCGUGUUUUCCUGUGUAUGUUUUAUCGGCUGUUGUUCAAGUUCAAAGGCAAUAACAGAAGAAUUUGAUAAGCUAAUAUUUGAGAUCUGAAUUACAGAUCAGAUUAUGAGUCUAUGGCAAGUUAUGAUCUCACAGAAAUGCACUUAAGCACUCAGCUUCAAGUACGUGAGAAUCUUAACUGAUUUCAGUGGCACCACACCUGUAAGGUGUGUUACCAUAACCCUGAAAGUAGGCAAGCACAUUACAUUUUUGCGGGAUUGAAACGUUACAUUGUGCUUUGGAUCACAGCCUCUGUCUCUGUAGAAGGGGACGUGACCCUAAUUUGCUCUGUUGCAAUAGAAAUAAUAAGCAGUAAUAAUAAAAUGGCAAAAACAAGGGCA
ensembl:lncRNA